UCUGCUUUUCUCUGUUUCAGCCUGCUUUAAUAGCAUCUUCAGUCCUCCUCUGGCACCCUGCUUAGGUCCAGCCGAGAUGUUUCCCAAGACCUCUUGCUCAGUUUAUCCUAGGGGAUCCCAGGCCUGUUGGUGGGCGCAGUCCAAACGUUGAGAUCCUUGUAGGACCGCUGAAGAAGCGAGUGUGCUGCCUAACCUGCUGGGAAGCCUCUGGGGAUGCUGUACACCCAUCAGGUUUUCUACGAAAUCAGUUUUUCCUGUCUGGAUUGUGGCAAACUGCAGCCAAAGAUCAUCACCGCUGUCUGGAACUGGUCUGCUGCAGAAGAAUCGGAGCAGCGUGAUGUGGAGCUGUCAUCCCUGUGCGAUAGAUUGCAAAAUGGGUUAGUCCUCCCUUUCUUACCUCUGCUCCUGGAUAUCGCUCUCAUUUCACUUACUUAGGCAUUGUCACCGCUGCUGGUAUAUCCGAAGCAAGCCAGUGCAGGAAGAAAUGGAAGGAGCUCUCUCCAACACAGCACAGCCACCUGGAAG
rnacentral:lncRNA from 1 species